GUGGGGAUGGGGGAAGGGAGAAAGACGUUGGGGAAGGGGUGGGGAUGGGGGAAGGGAGAAAGAGGUUGGGGAAGGGGUGGGGAUGGGGGAAGGGAGAAAGAGGUUGGGGAAGGGGUGGGGAUGGGGGAAGAGACAGAGGGUGGGGGAGGAGCGGGGAUGAGGAGGAAGAUGGAGGGUGGCAGAAGGGGGUAGAGGAGUGUUGGGGACAGGUGAAUGGGUGACUCCUGUGGCCUUGCCCCCAGGACAGUAGCGGGGGCAGGGUGGAGAAAUGGGGUAUAGCUGGUGAAUGGAGAGGCAGUGGGGAGGUGGGGGACUGGCUGGGAAUGAGGGAUAGGGGGUUCUGUGAUCAGGGAGAGGUCCACGUAUGGACCCUGCCCUGGUCCUGUGCUUCUAUGGGCCCACCUUUCUCUCAGUGGAAUGCAGGGUGCAGGUGCCGGUUCCAGCGUACCCUGAGCGGAGGCCCUCACCCCAUCCCGUCCCGCUGGUCUAGAAAAGACGCCGCUGCCCUUGGCCGGGUCACACCUGGGGAACGGGUGCGGUGUCCCGGAGCGGUGCCACGGCACUGCGGGCCCUGCUUCUGGCAGUUAGGUAGCUAUGCCCUGAAGCCUCGCGGGGAUCCCAUGUCUAGCACCAGCAGGGGGCACUGCAGUCAACAGUCAGGCCUGGGAAGUACUCAGCCUCCACAAACUGUUUUCCUGAAAGGGGGACCCCAAAUCUCCUGCCAUAGGCUAUGAUGAUCAUGGUGACUAAAGAGCAACAGGCAGUGUGGUGAGGCUGGCUGUCUUUUUGUGACUCUGGCCUGCCAUUCCCUGACGGAUUCCCACGAUAGUGAACAUAGCUGCGGGUUCCCAGCUGCACAGAUGGAUGAAUGCGCGAACAAAACAUAGGUACAUACAAAGGAAGUCUUUAUAUUGAUCCAGAUUCGACCAGGGAUUGUAACAUAGAAUAGGACUGAUAAGGAUGGGUGUGGUGGCUCACGCCUGUAAUCCAAGCACUUUGGAGGCCAAGGUAGGUGGAUCACCUGAGGUUGGGAGUUCAAGACCAGCCUGACCAAUAUGGUGAAACCCCAUCUUUAAAAAAAUAAAUAAAUAAUAGAAUGGGGCUGAUAAAAACCA
rnacentral:lncRNA from 13 species